UCUCCGUUGGUGAACCAGCGGAGGGAUCAUUACAGAGUUCCACAACUCCCAACCCCUGCGAACCGUACCCCAGUUUGUUCUCGUUGCCUCCUGGCGGCGUGCCCCCGGCGCCACCGCCGGGGCCCCCGCCGGCGGCGGCGGGCCCCCUGCACCUUUUUUUCUCAACCCACCCGUCCGAUCCAACAUACAACUGAAUCAAAACUUUCAACAACGGAACUCUUGGUUCUGGCAUCAAUGUAGAACGCAGCCGAUCCGCAGAGCUCACGUCCGCACUCCAGC
rnacentral:misc_RNA from 1 species